GGCAGUUGGAACAACACUGUCUUCAGUUCCUGGAUGACCACCGAAUCCCCAGCAACCAUCGUAAGAUGAACUGGACUAGGGAAAAAGGGGGCUGUUGUCCUUCCUGAAGGAACACGUCCUGUCCAGAUAAAAAGCCAAGGCAUGCUGGACGUCUAAGGGAUUUGAAAAGCAGAAGAAGCCCAAGAGCAAGAACAUCCCAAUGCUACUUUAGCAGCAGACACAAAGGAACUGAGGACAGCGACGCUCCCACCACCCUUUCCAACCAUCAUGCUUGAGUGGUGGGAAGAACCAGAGCAUCAUAUGGAGCUACAGAAUCUACCUGGAAUGGCUACUGUGCAGCUGUGAAGCCUACCUCUCAAGAGAGAGAAGAAAGAGCCACUGCGCCCCUUCAGAAUCGAUUCACUGUGCUCAUAGUGCUCUGUGGGAAGAAAGCAAAGGCUGAUAGAUUUGCUUAAGUUCCUACCCUGAGAGAAGAGUCACUUGCUUCAGACGAUUAAAGACGACAGGUAUGUUGCACUGGUCAGUAACAACUCAGGAAGAAAGCCUCAGCAACAUGAAAACAUGCUUGAAGGAACUAUGCCCGCCCACCCGCCCCGCCUGAACUGAAUGGUGUGGCAGAGAGGAGGUUUGGCAAAUAGUUUCUGCCUAAAGCAUAUCAGAGUAUUUAGAUGUGAAGGCUAUGCACAUGUGCAAAAAGCAUGGAGGAAAAGGCUGAAUUGAAAGGAGUACCUUGUGGUUCCCCCUACCCACCAGGAGGAACAGGAUACAGAAUUAUUAUUGAUGAAACUGGUGAUGGUGAAAUUUGCAAUAUUGUGUACUUUUGAUGAGAGACAAAAGCCAACCAAAGGUGAAGUACCAGAAGCUGGGCCAAAGAUCCAGGAUUGGAGUUUGGAAGAUAAAAAGAGAAAGGCAUAACAAUUUCAACUGAAAACAUAGUUGUUUUUAUUAAAGUAGCAUUUUAUUUUUUAA